GAACGCUGGCGGCGUGCCUAACACAUGCAAGUCGAACGGAGUUUAGCGCUGAUGAAGCUUCGGCAGAUUCUUGUUAAACUUAGUGGCGGACGGGUGAGUAACGCGUGGGUAACCUGCCUCAUACAGGGGGAUAGCAGUUGGAAACGACUGAUAACACCGCAUAAGCGCACAGGAUCGCAUGAUCUAGUGUGAAAAUAUUUAUAGGUAUGAGAUGGACCCGCGUCUGAUUAGCUAGUUGGUGAGGUAAUGGCCCACCAAGGCGACGAUCAGUAGCCGGCCUGAGAGGGCGGACGGCCACAUUGGGACUGAGACACGGCCCAAACUCCUACGGGAGGCAGCAGUGGGGGAUAUUGCACAAUGGGCGAAAGCCUGAUGCAGCGACGCCGCGUGAGUGAAGAAGUAUUUCGGUAUGUAAAGCUCUAUCAGCAGGGAAGAAAGACCUCGUAAGAGGGGAUGACGGUACCUGAGUAAGAAGCCCCGGCUAACUACGUGCCAGCCGCUGC
rnacentral:rRNA from 1 species